rnacentral:lncRNA from 1 species
UUUAAGUAUUAGGGUACAUGUGCACAAUGUGCAGGUUAGUUACAUAUGUAUACAUGUGCCAUGCUGGCGUGUUGCACCCAUUAACUCGUCAUUUAGCAUUAGGGAUAUCUCCUAAUGCUAUCCCUCCCCGCUUCCCCCACCGCACAACAGUCCCCAGAGUGUGAUGUUCCCCUUCCUGUGUCCAUGUGUUCUCAUUGUUCAAUUCCCAUCUAUGAGUGAGAACGUGCGGUGUUCGGUUUUUUGUCCUUGCGAUAGUUUACUGAGAAUGAUGAUUUCCAAUUUCACCCAUGUCCCUACAAAGGACAUGAACUCAUCAUUUUUUAUGGCUGCAUAGUAUUCCAUGGUGUGUAUGUGCCACAUUUUCUUAAUCCAGUCUAUCAAUGUCCAACAAAGAUUUGGCUUUCUUUUCAUUUAGAAAGAAGCUCUCACAGUGGAAGACUAUAAUAUGACAUAAGAAGAAAUGUGGACUUGGAGAUACAGAAGACAGAGUUUUACUUUUGUUACCCAGGCUGGAGUGCAAUGGCGCAAUCCUGGCUCACCGCAACCUCCGCCUCCCAGGUUCAAGCAAUUCUUCUGCCUCAGCCUCCCGAGUAGCUGGGAUUAGAGACGGGGUUUCAUCAUGUUGCCCAGGCGGGUCUUGAACUCCUAAACUCAAACAAUCCACCUGCCUUGGCCUCCCAAAGUGCUGGGAUUACAGGUGUGGGCCAUCGUGCCCAGCCUCAUACCAUGGACUCUUACACAACAACAAAAAAGAAGAAUAUAGAAUAUAGAAAUCAGCAUUGAAAGAUCUCAAAAACAUACUAUGGAAUGACAAAAAGCCAAGUUUCAGAAUAAUAUAUACAGUGUAACAUUUAUAUAAAGACCGAAAACAUGCAAAACUAUGUAUUCUUUAUAAAAACAUCUAUCUAUACUGAAAAUAUAGAAACAAGAGUAGGAAUGAUGAACACCAAAUUCACAACAGUGGUUACCUCUGGUGGAGACAGGGUACAAGGGUACACAGUGGGCUUCAAUUAUACACAAUAUUUUAUUACUUGAGUGGGGCUGUAAGGGUUGAUUAUAUUGUUUUCUAUAUAAUAUUGUGUGCUGGCAACAUUUCAUAACAAGGAAAAAAGGAAGAAAAUAUCCUAAAACAAAUUAAUAUGUAACAAGUAAAAUGUUAGAACUGAUCAAUCUAAAGUCCAACUCUUUGAAAACAUGAAAGAUGGCUGGGCACAGUGGCUCAUGCCUGUAAUCCCAGCACUUUGGGAGACCGAGGCGGGAGGAUCACCUUAAGUCAGGAGUUCGAGACCAGCCUGACCAAUAUGGAGAAACUCCGUCUCUACUAAAAAUACAAAAUUAGCCGGGUGUGGUGGUGUAUGCCUGUAAUCCCAGCUACUCGGGAGGCUGAGGCAGGAGAAUCGCUUGAACCUGGGAGGCAGAGAUUGUGGUGAGCUGAGAUCGCACCAUUGCACUGUAGCCUGGGCAACAAGAGCAAAAUACCGUCUCAAAAAAAAAAAAAAGUAAAAAAAAAAUAAAAGACAAAUCUCACACAAAGCAAAAGAAAAAAACUAAGAAACACAAAUAGCUAAUACCAUAGAGAAAAAUUUUAAAGAGUGAAAUUAACAGACUAUUUACAAAGAACUCAAAAGCAGGCCGGGCGCGGUGGCCCACGCCUGUAACCCCAGC